GUGCUCACUUUGGCAGCACAUGUACGAAAAUUGGAACAAUACAGAGAAGAUUAGCAUGGCCUUUGCACAAGGAUGACAUGCAAAUUCAUGAAGCUUUCCAUAUUUAA
rnacentral:snRNA from 1 species